rnacentral:rRNA from 1 species
UACGUAGGGUGCAAGCGUUGUCCGGAUUUAUUGGGCGUAAAGAGCUCGUAGGCGGUUUGUCGCGUCGGAUGUGAAAACCUAUGGCUUAACCAUGGGCCUGCAUUCGAUACGGGCAAACUAGAGUUCGGUAGGGGAGACUGGAACUCCUGGUGUAGCGGUGAAAUGCGCAGAUAUCAGGAAGAACACCGGUGGCGAAGGCGGGUCUCUGGGCCGAUACUGACGCUGAGGAGCGAAAGCGUGCGGAGCAAACAGG